UACGGGGGGGGCGAGCGUUGUUCGGAAUCACUGGGCGUAAAGGGCGCGUAGGCGGCCCGCACAAGUCUGCGGUGAAAACCCCCGGCUUAACCGGGGGCCGGCCGUGGAAACUGUCGGGCUGGAGGCUGGGAGAGGGCAGCGGAAUUCCCGGUGUAGCGGUGAAAUGCGUAGAGAUCGGGAGGAACACCGGCGGCGAAGGCGGCUGCCUGGACCAGUCCUGACGCUGAGGCGCGAAAAGCUAGGGGAGCAAACAGGG
rnacentral:rRNA from 1 species